rnacentral:rRNA from 1 species
GACGAACGCUGGCGGCGUGCUUAACACAUGCAAGUCGAGCGAUGAAACACCUUCGGGUGCGGAUUAUAGGCGAACGGGUGAGGAACACGUCAGGCACCUGCCUUCCACUCUGGGAUAACGCUGGGAAACCGGGGCUAAUAACGGAUACUUUCAACUGGCGCCAUCGCCGGUCGAACAAAGUUUUGCGGUGGAAGAUGACCUCGCGGCUUAUCAGCUUGUUGGUGAGGUAAAGGCUCACCAAGGCGACGACGGGUAGCCGGGGUGAGAGGAAGACCGGCCACACAGGGACUGAGACACGGCCCAGACUCCUACGGGAGGCAGCAGUGGGGAAGAUUGGGCAAUGGAGAAAACUCUGACCCAGCGACGCCGCGUGAGGGAUGAAGGCCUUCGGGUUGUAAACCUCUUUCAGCAGGGAAUAAGCGAAAGUGAAGGUACCUGCAGAAGAAGCACCGGCUAACUAUGUGCCAGCAGCCGCAGUAA